rnacentral:rRNA from 1 species
UGGGGAAUUUUGGACAAUGGGGGAAACCCUGAUCCAGCCAUCCCGCGUGUGCGAUGAAGGCCUUCGGGUUGUAAAGCACUUUUGGCAGGAAAGAAACGUCGCGGGUUAAUACCCCGCGAAACUGACGGUACCUGCAGAAUAAGCACCGGCUAACUACGUGCCAGCAGCCGCGGUAACACGUAGGGUGCAAGCGUUAAUCGGAAUUACUGGGCGUAAAGCGUGCGCAGGCGGUUCGGAAAGAAAGAUGUGAAAUCCCAGAGCUUAACUUUGGAACUGCAUUUUUAACUACCGGGCUAGAGUGUGUCAGAGGGAGGUGGAAUUCCGCGUGUAGCAGUGAAAUGCGUAGAUAUGCGGAGGAACACCGAUGGCGAAGGCAGCCUCCUGGGAUAACACUGACGCUCAUGCACGAAAGCGUGGGAAGCAAACAGGAUUAGAUACCCUGGUAGUCCACGCCCUAAACGAUGUCAACUAGCUGUUGGGGCCUUCGGGCCUUGGUAGCGCAGCUAACGCGUGAAGUUGACCGCCUGGGGAGUACGGUCGCAAGAUUAAAACUCAAAGGAAUU